rnacentral:rRNA from 1 species
UACGUAGGUGGCAAGCGUUGUCCGGAUUUAUUGGGUUUAAAGGGUGCGUAGGCGGUUAUAUAAGUCAGUGCUGAAAUCUCCCGGCUUAACCGGGAGGGUGGCAUUGAUACUGUAUGACUUGAGUAAAGUUGAGGUUGGCGGAAUUGACGGUGUAGCGGUGAAAUGCUUAGAUAUCGGGAGGAACACCAGAGGCGAAGGCGGCCGACUGGGCUGUACCUGACGCUGAGGCGCGAAAGCGUGGGGAGCGAACCGG